GUAAUCAUGACUCAGAACAAAAGACUGAAAUCGAUUGACGAUGAAUGAAUUAUUCACCAGAAAACACUUAAGCAAUGUCGUAUAGACCAGUGAACGCGCAUAUGACUAACUCUUGAAUUUUUUCCUUUAGGUUUGCCACUUCCGUAUUAGUUGCACCCAUUUUAGGAGAUAAAUAUAAGUGAGAUGAUUGUUCUUUCAUAUCAAUUAUUAUAAGCAAUAUCUUAUCUAAACUUAAUAUACACAACGAACGAGAAGCUGAAGAAGUGAAAUAAGUUAAAAUGAUUUCGCUACGUGUUGUUAUGUUUUUUGUUUUAUUGGUAGUUUUGGCUGUUGUUGUUCAAGAGUCAAAUGCUAUGGUUAUACCCUUUAGACUUUGUGGCGACGGACUAAAAAUGGUCAGAGGAAGAUGUAGGGUGGUUUAUUCUUAAGAAACGUUGAUCAACAUCAAGAGAAUAUGCAUUAAUUAAAUAAUAUUAUAUUUUAAAAUUUUAUGUAUUUUCAUAUAAAAUAAAAUUUAGUAUAUAUUUAGACUACAAAAUGUUAAUAUAAACAACAAAUCUAGAGAAUAAAUUUUUUUAUAAUUUC